UGUAAGUACUGACAUCUGAGUAGGUUUAGUUGCUGUUGAAUAUUGGUAUCCAAGGACAACCAAAAAUUGUGGUGGACAACCAAGUUUACUUGCCAGCACAACCAUUUUCCCCCCUUACUUCUAACACUGCAAGUAUAAUAAACCGCUUCACUAAAUACACUGAUGAUAAUUAUGUCAAAUUGCUAAUUACAAUGUGUUUAUAUUUGCUCUCUAUUUUUUCAAGGACACAUUGAGGCAGAUAUUGAUGGAGAGGCUUCUUUCUAAACUAGAAUCUGUUGUUAAUCAACAUCCUCUAAAUUUAGAUUAUAUGGAGUUUGUCAUUCGGCAUGAGCUCACUGUCUUCAACUCAUUCUCUGAUCAGACAGGCGAUGUAUCAGAGAUUACAUCAGCACUCCAAAACCUGCUUUACCUUGUCCAACAAGAGAUUCAUGAAAGUGCUUUUCACCUUGUUGAACAGGAAAUGGAGCACAAUUCUAGUUCUGGUCACUCCAAGAUUUUAAUAGAAAGAGAGAAGUUAAAAGACUUGUUGGACACACGCCUUCCCAUUGCCUGCAUUGCUAAAUGCCUUGGGGUUUCCCAAAGGACCGUGUACAGGAGGAUGCAAGAACAUGGCUUUUCUGUCACAGGCUCAUACAGCACAAUGACUGACCGAGAAUUGGACACAAUUAUAUCAUCUGUUAAAAGUCAGAUGGCAAAUGCAGGUUAUCGAAUGGUUCAUGGACAUUUGACUUCAUUGGGACUUCGUAUUCAGUGGAUGGAGGAUGAAGGCUUCUAUGCAUCGUGUUGAUGCAGCAGGGAUCUUCUCACGGCUCACAGAAGUAGGAUGUGUUGUCAGAAGAUGUUACUCUGUGCGAGGUCCACUAUCUCUUGUUCACAUUGACACAAACCACAAGCUAAUAAGGUACAAUAUUGUGAUAUUUGGUGGAGUGGAUGGCUAUUCAAGAAAGGUUUUGUAUUUGAAUGCUGCCACAAAUAACAAGCAGAAACAGACUUUUCCUUUUUUUCAAGAGCAUCUGAACUUUAUGGUCUACCAUCAAGGUACUCUGAGCUGAUGCAAUUUAAUCUGCAUACGGUUUUAAAGAAAAUCAUUAGUUACAUUGUACUGUGUGUGUGGCAGAGUAAGGGCUGAUCAAGGUGUAGAAAACCUCGACAUUGCACGUUUCAUGUUUGCCACACGGGGAACAGGAAGAGCUAGUGUUCACAAGAGCUAGUGUUCACAAUCAGAGAGUAGAGCGACUUUGGCGAGAUGUUUGGACUGCAGUCACCAGCAAGUAUUAUGAUGUUCUUCACACUCUGGAGGAAAAUGGAAUGCUCAACAUCUCAGAUGCAACUCUUUUGUUUGGCGUGCACUACAUCUUCAUCCCUCGGCUCCAGGCAGAUCUGGACAUGUUUGCUACAGGAUGGAACCAUCAUCCUUUAAGGACAGAAGGUGGUCUCAUCCCUAAGCAGCUGUGGUGUAUUGGUCACAUACAAAAUCUGGACGAGAGUGAAAGACUUGAGGAUCUCCAGGAUCCAGGUGUUGACUGGGAGAGUGCUGUGCUCCAAGAAGACCCUGACUGUGGAGUUGUACUUCCUGAAAUGGAAUGCCCACUGGAUGAGGAAACCCUGGAUGUUCUAAGAAGUAACUUUAACCCUCUGGAACGCUCCAACUCAAA